GACGGGAUCAUCUCCCUUUCGACCUCAGUGGGACAAGGAUAGGGGCGGAGGACAGUAAUGGCAGAAUUUGUGGUCUUGCAAGAUUCCACAGCUUACAACAUCAUUCUGGGGAGAAAAACCAUCAACGACCUUGGCGCGGCGAUCAGCACGAAACUGCUUGUAAUGAAGUUUGUCGCUGAUGAUGGAUCUAUAGGAUCCAUCAAAGGAGACCUGGAAACGGCAGUUGCCUGCGACCACGCCAGCCUCUCCUUGAGGAAAAAGUCUAAAGAAGCAUCAGGGGUUUUUCUAGCCGACCUGGACGCCAGAAUGGAUGACAAACCCAGACCCGAACCAGAGGGGGACCUGGAAAAAUUUAAGGUCGGGGACACGGAGGAGAAGUUCACGUUCAUAAAUAGAAAUCUCCCCCAUGGAUUGAAGGGACCUUUGAUGGAGAUGAUCAGAGCCAAUGACGACCUGUUCGCUUGGACACCGGCCGACAUGCCGGGGAUAGAUCCCCAACUCAUGUCGCACUGUCUGGCUGUCAAGCCGGAAGCCUAACCAGUGGCCAAAAUGAGGAGGAAGAUGUCACAAGAAAAGGCAGAGGAGGUGGCCAGGCAGACGGCCAGCCUCCUCGAAGCGGGGUUCAUCCGAGAGCUGGACUACUCGACUUGGCUAUCGAACGUGGUCUUGAUGAAAAAGCACAACGGGAGGUGGAGAAUGUGCGUGGACUACUCUGACCUCAACAAGGCAUGCCCCAAGGACUGCUAUCCCCUUCCCAACAUCGACGCACUCGUCGACGCGGCGGCGGGGUACCGGUAUCUGAGCUUCAUGGACGCUUACUCUGGGUACAAUCAGAUACCGAUGCACCAGCCCGACGAAGACAAAAUGGCGUUCAUAACGCCCGGAGGGAUCUAUUGCUACAAGGUGAUACCGUUUGGCUUGAGAAACGCUGGCGCCACGUACCAAAGGCUGAUGAACAAGAUAUUCAGCGAGCUCAUAGGCAAGACAGUAGAAGUCUACGUGGAUGACAUCCUUGCGAAGACCACACGACCCGACGAUCUCCUAAGCGACCUGGGGGGCGUGUUCGCGUCCCUCCGACAAAACGGCAUGAGGCUCAACCCGCACAAAUGCGCCUUUGCCAUGGAAGCCGGGAAGUUCCUAGGGUUCAUGAUAACCCAGAGAGGGGUAGAAGCCAACCCUGAGAAUUGCCAAGCGAUUCUCCAGAUGAAGAGCCCGGGUUGUAUCAAAGACGUACAGCGAUUGGCAGGGAGGCUGAUGGCGUUAUCCCGUUUUCUCGGCGCAUCGGCAGCAAAAGCCCUGCCCUUUUUCAAUCUGAUGAAAAAGGGGAUAGCAUUUGAAUGGACCCCUGCGUGUGAGAAAGCGUUCAACCACUUCAAAGAGAUCCUGGCAUCACCUCCGGUGCUCGGAAAACCAAUGGUCGGAGAACCACUCUACCUCUACCUGGCCGUAUCGGAGGAAGCGCUUGCAGCAGUGCUGGUACAGGAGGAAGGGAAGGCUCAGCAACCAAUUUACUUUGUAAGCAGGGCGUUACAAGGAGCAGAGCUGAGGUAUAGCAAAUUGGAGAAACUGGCGCUGGCACUCCUAACCUCCUCCCGAAGGCUGAGGCAAUACUUUUAGAGCCACUGUGUUAUCGUGAGAACGGACCAAGCAAUUCGCCAAGUACUCUAAAAGCCUGAUUUGGCAGGAAGGAUGAUGACUUGGGCCAUCGAGCUCUUCCAAUAUGAUUUGCAGUACGAGCCCCGAUAUGCAAUCAAGUCCCAAGCAAUGGCAGAUUUCCUAGUGGAGGUAACAGGCGAUCCCCCAGAGGAAACGGGCACACGGUGGAGACUCCAUGUGGACGGGGCCUCCAACCAGACGUCCGGGGGCACUGGGGUCAUCUUAGAGAGCCCAGCCGGGGUCGUAUACGAGCAAUCGACCAAGUUCGAAUUUCCCGUAUCGAACAACCAAGCAGAAUAUGAAGCCCUCUUGGGAGGACUGACCCUAGCCUGGGAAGUUGGGGCGACAAGGCUGGAAGUGUGCAGCAACUCACAGGUUGUCACCUCGCAAGUGAACGGAAGCUAUCAAGCAAGAGACCCGUUGCUGCAAAGGUAUUUGGAAAAGGUUAGAGAAUUGACCAGGCAAUUCCAGGAAGUCACGGUCCAACACGUUCCAAGGGAGAGGAACACACGGGCGGACCUCCUAUCUAAACUAGCAAGCACAAAACCGAGAGUGGGCAACCGGUCCCUCAUCCAGGGCAUGGUAAAGGAGCCAACGGUUGCCCUCCAUUUGACGGAAUCAAGCCCCUCCUGGUUGGACCCCAUCACAAACUUCCUGGAACAUGGCAAACUACCUGAUGAUGAGAAGACAACCAAAACGUUGAGAAGGGAGGUAGCCAAAUAUGCAAUCAUACAAGGACAACUGUUCAGAAAGGGACUCAGCCAACCCCUACUGAAGUGCUUGCACCCCGACCAGACGGACUACGUACUUAGAGAAGUCCACGAGGGAUGCUACAGCCACCACAUCGGGGGCAAAGCCCUAGCAAGGAAGCUCAUCCGAGCUGGGUAUUACUGGCCAUCAAUGAUGAAAGACUCCAGGGAAUUUGUCAGAAAAUGCGUCAAGUGUCAAGAAAACGCCAACUUCCACAAAGCGCCGGCUUCCGAGCUGAGCCUACUGACGUCUACCCGACCUUUUGCUCAAUGGGGAGUCGACCUCUUGGGACCCUUCCGGUCGGCCCAGGACAAGUUAAGUAUCUCAUAGUUGCCAUCGACUACUACACCAAAUGGAUAGAGGCUGAACCACUAGCCAGCAUAUCCUCAUCCAAUUGCAGGAAGUUCAUGUGGAGACAGGUGAUAAUCCGUUUCGGCAUCCCGGAGGUCGUCAUUUCGGAUAAUGGGACGCAAUUCACUAACAAGAAGUUCACGGAAUUCCUCACCGGCCUGGGGAUAAAACAAAAGUUUUCCUCAGUUGAACAUCCCCAGACGAAUGGACAAGUGGAGUCCGUAAACAAAGUCAUCCUACUAGGCCUCAAGAAGCGCUUAGACAACAAGAAAGGCGCAUGGGCCGACGAGCUCGCUUCGGUCCUCUGGUCCUACCGGACAACCGAGCAAAGUUCCACGGGGGAAACCCCCUUUCGCCUAACAUACGGGGUCGACGCGGUGAUACCUGUGGAAACUGGCGAACCGAGUCCACAACUACUUCUCGCAGGAGUAGAUGAAGUAGUGGAAAAGGACCCGGUGGAUGAGACCAGAGAGAUGGCCCACUUGUCAGAAACAGCAAUGAAACAAAGAAUAGCUUUGCGCUACAACACUAAAGUCCUCAGGAGGAAAUUUGAGGAAAGAGACCUCGUCCUGCGACGCAACGACGUCGGUUUACCAACCCCAGGAGAAGGAAAGCUGGCGGCAAACUGGGAAGGUCCCUAUAGAAUCAAAGAAGUGCUCGGCAAAGGCGCCUACAAGCUGGAGAGACUCGACGGCAAAGAAAUCCCAAGAACGUGGAAUGCAGGUAACCUAAGGAGAUUCUAUUCGUAGCUUGGGCACACCGGCCAAGCGGCCUGACGAGCCAAUAGAUGCUUACUCUAUUCACGUGUUAAUUCUUAGCUAUUUAUCUUUAUCAAGUACCUGCCAUAUUCACAAAUUUGUCUGGCUAACGACUAAUUUUUACUUGUCUAAAUUCUUUUAUCUACUAUUCUCCAAUACGUAUUCCACACAAUCGCGUUCUUCAAUGGCAACCCAGGACUGAUCACCCCGGGAGCCAGUCGAAUCAUAGCCAUGACUAACGGCCGUGAUAACAAGACCAAGACGGUUCCAACCGUUACCAACAUAAACGGCAAAACGGACACAAACAAUAAGUCCACACCAGAAAAACGGUAACAAAACAUAAGUGCUACUAAACAAACAGAAUAAAGGCGAUAAUAAAAGGCCGACCAGGUGACCACUAAAAAGUAGCAAAGGUCUCAACAGUUAUAACAAGUAUCUUACAAAGCCACACAAAAACACAAAGUUACAAGAGCUCAUUUUCGAGGCAUAUCAACAAUCUUGUCGUCCUGGAUUGUUUUGAAGACUCCAAUAGCCGAUGUAUCGAAUUCCGGGACCAUGAUCUUCACUUGGGCCUUGAGGGCUUCUUCAGUCAUAAAGAUUGCGUUGUUCCCCUGUUUCCUGACCGUCUUAUAUUUCCUUUUCAACUCUCCCGCCUCGGCUCGCGCAGCCUCAGCCGACGAGACGGCCGCGUCGCGCUCCUUCUCCACAGCGACCACCCGACCUUGCGCGGCGUUAAGCUGGCUCUCUAGAGUCAUCUCCCACUCGGUUAGACGAGAGACGGUGGCGUCGGAGGCAUUCAUUUUUUCCUCAAAUGACGCAGCCCUCUCCUCGGCAUCCUUCCACCCCAUCUCCGCCGUAGCCAGUUGUUCCUGAAGCUUUUCGACCUGGACCUUGAACUCGUUGUUGGCUUUGGCAGCAGUAUCAAGUUUCCUUCGCAACGCCUGCAUACCCGACAACUCGAACUCGGCCUUCCGGGCUAUCACAGCUCCGCGAAGAAGUGUUCGAUACAUCCACCUCGCCUGCCCCGCCAAGUCGGUGCCAAGGAAGUGCUCCUCUGUGCCAGGGAUCAGCUGGAAGUCGAUGAAAGUCCCAGCAUCAAAAUUUCUUUCCAUCACGGUGAGGGUUCCUUCCGGGCUGGCGGAGGCCCUCAGCCUCUUAGGAGUAUGAACAGUUUCCACAUCGUCAUCUUCUUGGCGGGUAGAGGGCGAAUGACCAACAACAGCCGCCUCUUCGGGAAUAGGGGAAGCCUGCGCCCCGGCUGAAUUCUUUUCGGUCAUUGCGGUGUCUUGGGGAGACGGCACGGCCUGAUCCUCCUUCUCCCCAGAAGGGCCUUCCGGCUUCCCGGCCUCCUUCUCGUCAGCAUUCUCCUCAUCGCUAUCCUCCAAGAAGGUCUUGACUAAAUUUUCGAGCCCGGUCACCAAAGCAGACAUCUCCACUACAAUAGAGAAACAAAUACGUUAGUCUUGAAGUCGGGGAGAACAAAUCAAACAACAAACAAUGCAAAAGCACAAGACAGAACAGCUCACAAAUAUAAUUCCUGGCGGACUCCCGUUCACCCAUAAGGAGGUGGGGGUUCACGGGAUUCUUCCCAAAAAGAUCAAACAGCACAUCGGUAAUCCUCUUAUUUACAGGGGACAUUCCCUUGUAGGUCACCUUAAUGAAAGAAUUAGACCCCGCCCCGAAGCUCCAAUAAGUCGGGAUGGGGCGUUCCCCCUCUAACGAUAACCAAAAGGAAUGGCGACCUUUAACGGGGCGAACUUUGAAGAAUUUGUCCUUGAACCCAUGAUAAGAGUCCUCGAACAGGCCAAAUAUUCUCCAGCCUUGGGCAGACCGGAAGGACAGAAACCCUUUCCUCGCCUUUCCUUGUUUGGAAGGGUUGGUAAGGUUGAAGAAGAAGAGGAAGACAUCCAUUGACACCGGCAGCUCGAGAUAUUCACAAACUAUCUCGAAACAGCGGAUAGAAGCCCAGCUGUUCGGAUGGAGUUGCGACGGCGACACGGAUAUCCGAUUAAGAAGCGACAUCUGAAAAUCGGAAAAUGGUAGGCGAACGCCAACCUGGGUGAAUAUGGCUUUGUAAAACCAAAUCCAGUCGGUGACCCGGGGAGAAUGGAAAUUAAUCUCAUACAAUCGCUCGUUGGGGGCAGAAACGAAGGUCUCGUAAUUGGCCUCCUCAUCUGUCCCCCCGCACAGAUACCCGGCUUGCCGGAACUCCGUCAACUCCUCUAGAUCCAUCUGGUUCGGCGAGUCCUUCACAUCUGAGGUCACCCAGGCGUAGGGGUAAUAGUUCGCAGCGGAAACAAAAGCCGGGAGACGACGCGAGGCAUACCUACAGUGGGGGUACCACUCCAUUAGUCUAUGAGGUCGAGAGUUCCGAAAAAACCCAGAAACUAUGUCCACCCUAUUCAACAGUUAAGAUCAAGCAUGGCCAAAGCUACACCUAUCACGCAAGCCACCUAAAAACCUACCCUGGAAUGGUACCCCUCCCCUAACACAUCUACUUAGCACUAAAAGGUCAUCUAGCAACAAAAACCAAACAAGACAGCAAGAACACAAAGCAAAUACAAACAACAAGCGUACAACAACGAAGCAGAAAAGAGAGAGGUCCAAGGAUUACCUGAAUUUGUUGCGAAAACUGAGAAGGAUGAAGGGAAGAUACACGAGGAUACUGCAACAACGCUCUGAAAUUUUUGAAAGAAGAAGAGGGAGAUAGCAGGGAGAUGGAAGAAACAGGAGUGUAAAGGAGAAAAAAGUUGAGGCAAACUGUUUAAAACCGCCACUCAGGAAGCGCGAAAGACUUGGGGGCAAAAUAGUAUUUGCGCAUGGGGUUUUGCAACCCAUUAUGAGCAUUUAAUGCUCAGCGCGAAGAACGAAGCGGCGAAUGGUUGUCUCAACAACCAAGAGACACGCGCGCAGGGGGCAUGUCCCUUCCACGGGCGGCCGACCUGACGACGAUGCAUGGAACGUGAAAUAACACGCCACUAAUAGCUCCCACGACUAUCACUGGCGCGUGGGAGCACUGUUACGGCCUAGCCCAAACCCUCCACGGGUCGGCCCGACCCAAGAGCCCACUCGACCUGAACGGUCAAGGGUGAGGCGCCCCGCAACCGACCCGGACACGCGUCCCAGACAGCUCACUUACAGCUGUGGGAGAACGUCUCGAAAAAAGUGGGCCUGUCCUUGUAGGGCCCACUUCUGACACAGUAUAUAAGGGGAAGGUUUUACCCUUCCCUCAAGGUACGUCACACAUCACUCUCCCCCCUUUUCACCUGCACAUUACUGACUAGAGCGUCGGAGUGUCUUUGCAGGUGACACCCCCCUCUACAAGAAGUGCUCGGGACCCCGCCUACACCAGACCGGUAGUUCACGACGAGACGAGACCCCUCAUCACCAACCAGCAUACCAACCUGAUCCGUCCGAUACCCGAUCUACCAAACAUUUUCGUUAGAAUUGCACUCUGAUGAAUUUAUGGAUAUGCUUGUCAAAUUUUAAAAUCAUUCAAAAACUAGUUUGUCAAUAACAAAAAUCAAUUUGACCAGAAUUAGAAUAUGUGGAACACCGAUGUGAUAUUUUCCUCUUUAUAUGUAUUUACAACAGAGCAUAAUUUUAACCUCUAUGUUGCUAAGGUUACCGGAGCAAUGUAUAAUAGGAAAUGAAGUGGAGUGUUGCAUUCUCAAAACUAAACUCAUAACCAAUGUUCUGAAAAUCGGAUUGGACCGGUCGGUCAAACCGGUUCAAUCGGACCGAUAAAGAAAAGAUCCAGUCCAAUGUGAAACCGCACAAUCUAAAACCAUUCGAGAACCGCUGAACCGGCCGGUAACCGGUCGGUCGGAAAGGGAAAAGAUUGCACGCGUUAUCCACUUAUCCCCCCUUCUCCAACUCCUUCCUUCAGCAAAUGCCCUAAGCCUCCACCGAAGAAACAAACCCUAGCAGCCUCCACCAAUCGUUGUCGCCGUCUGUCGGAGUGAGAGACUGCUGCCGCCGUCCGACGCACUCAAGAACUACCGUCUUCGUGGUCUCGGGCCUCUCUCCGGAUCCUCCGCGUCGUGUGCUCGCAUCUCGCCUCUCUCCUCUGUGCUCGGCUGCUCGCGCCUCCCUCCGCCAGUGAGUGCUCGAGCUGUGCACGUUGGUUGCUGCUCGUUGUCCGUGGUUGUCUCUGCUCGAUUCUGCCUCCCAGUGUCACUCGAGUCUCGUCUCGGUCACUGGCAUCUCGUGGUUCGUCUGUCUCGUCGCCGGCGGCAGAAGCAACUCGUGGGGUUGUCUCUUGCUUCGUCGCCUUCUGUGGGGUGGUUGCCGACUCGCCGUCAACCGUUGGUGAGUCCCUGAACCAUCGCUUCCCUGUUCUCUCUUUUCCAAAUUUCCUUCUCCCUGUAUUUGUGCAUGUUGCUGAAUUGCUAAUCAAUAAAUUUGCCUUGUUGCUGAUCUAAAUUUUGCUCUAAAUCGGGACUUUAUUAAGAUUUGUUAAAUAUGUUGCUGUAACUUGAAUUUGUUGCUUCCCAGUAACAGAAUCGUAACAGAAUGCUCAGUCAUGCUUGGUUGAUUGGCUUUGCUCACUGAUUGUAUUUGAUGAUAGAUUUUAAAUUGAUAACUUUUAAAUUUUAAAUUUGCACUGCCCAUGUUACUGAUUCACUGUUCCUACAGUGUUUUUUGUUGUUGUUAAUCAUUGUGAUGAGCUUUGUUAAAAUUGGGUUGAAAAAUGUUAAUCUUUCUUCAUUUUUCAUUGUUCUUAACUUCUGUUCUUAUUAAAAAAUUGCAAUUGGUGAUCUUUUGAUUUAUUAUAUGCUUCAUGUUUUUAAUUUCACUCUGCUUCUAGGCUUUGAAAUCAGUUUAUGAUAACUGUGAUGCAAUUAUUUAGUUGGAUAACUGAUGUAAUUAUUGAGUUCAAGAGAUUGAGUUUUUCUGUUCUCAUUAUUAGUAAGACAUGGAUAGUUUAGAAUUUUUUAUUUCUUUCCCUUACUUCUGAAGUUCGUUGUUUCAAAAGGUUCAGUGUUGGCUUCAACUUUCAAAUGGGAAUUGGGAGCUGGUGAAGAUAACAUCUUCUGGAACUGAGUCUGAUCUAGAAUUAUGCUAGUACACAGUGAUGUUUGUUCCAUUUGGCUGGACUCAGUGAGACAACUGGGAAAUGUUCUUUUUUGGUCUGAUUAACUACAAUAUUUAACCUUGUUAAUCAUAUCUUGUACAAUUCAGACAAAAGAAGGGCCUAUUUUGGUUGCCAUAAAUUCCUUCAAGAAAGUUCCUCUGUAUGGUAAUGAUUGUAUUGAAGCCUACAAGCAUAAAAGAAUUAAAAAGGCCUGUUUUGUUUUACUUUUUGACUCAAUUACUUUAAGGCAAUAUUGUCUAUCUUUAACUUGUGCACUGCAAUUCAAUCCCAUUAUUUUUAAUGGAAGUAUAAUGAUGUUAAUUUUGCAUAUUUUGAUGAUUAAUUAAUUACAUUUAGUUGGUGAUAGACUGAUAGUUUGUGUAGGGUUUUAAAUUUGAAAGAUAUUUUAUGAUGUUUAUUUAUAAUUUAUUUAUUAUUUUAUCAUGGAACGGUUUUUCUGGUUGAACCACGGUUAGACCGGUUGGACCAGUAAACCAGUGACUAGAGCGGUUUGAUGACCGGUUCGGUUUUCAGAACCUUGCUCAUAACUCGUGAGCCACAGAGCCAGUGACCAGUGCUUGUUUGUUUUUUAGUUAGUUGCGAUGUCUAUCGACCUCAAACUCUCGCGCUUCAAUCGUAUUUAUCGCCCUUCGGUAACUCACUCUCUCUCUCUCUCUCUCAAAUGUUCUUAAUCGAUUAUUGAUUGGGAAUUUGACUUCACUCUCUCUCUCUCUCUCUCUCUCUCUCUCAAAUGUUCUUAAUCGAUUAUUGAUUGGGAAUUUGACUUCAGGAUGCACUGGAAGGCAAAAUCAUCAUCAAAACGCAGUCUUCAAUUUCCCACUAUGGAAUUCGCCUUACUCUCAAAGGAUCCGUCAACAUGCAGGUUCACCCUUUUCUUUCGUUACACCAAAAAGACGCAAACCUUAUAGUUUGUAUUUUAUUGAAGCUUUAAUUCAUGGUUUUGUUGGCCUUAUUGUUGUGUAUGGUGAAGGUUCGUGGAGGAUCAGCUGGGGUUGUUGAGUCACUCUAUGGAGUUAUUAAGCCAAUCCCUAUUUUGUAAGUUUGUUUCUUGUUCUCUUACUGUGUAAUUUGACAAGCAGAGUGUGAAUUUUAUUGAUGUUGUUGAUUUUCUUUUCCUUUCAAAAUAUGGCAAAUAGUGUUAUUGAUUUCUUGCUUCCUUGUCUAAACAAAAUAACAAAUUGUAAAUGAUUUCUACCUUAUUCAUUUUUGCAUAUAUGAUCUUUCUCGAUGAGCCAACCGUAAUGCAUAACCUUGUAAUUAUAGAUUUGCAGAUCAGUCUGCUUAUUUGGGAUUUGAUUCAGUUUCUAUGUGACUGUGAUUAACUUACCGGUCUUUGACUAGGUAAAUCUUCAUGAGCGACGAUACUUUAUAUAUAUAUAUAAACAAGAAGAUAGUAAUGAUAAGAAGAAUUCGUGAGUACAUUGUAUCAUCUAUUGUUUUCUUUUUGAUGGUGAAAGUGGGUGGCAUUUCUGUUGGUCCCAGAUUUAUUUGGGGCUAACAUUAGUCCUCUAAGUUUGCUUUUAAUUUUAGCUGUUAGGUUGUUUACUUUUAGAUCCAACAGUGUGUAACUCAACUUGUAUUUAUGCUUUUAAAAUUCGCAAAUUAUCCCUGUAAUUUGUUAAUUUUGCGAGUAAACACCCAAUUUGGUCCGUGUAUAUCUUCCUAGAGGAAAAUGCGACGCAUUACAAAAAAAAAACAGGACAAUUUGGCCCUUGAUCCUGUUUGUCGUGAGACAACAUAGCCCUUUUUGUGAAAUCCACCGUGAACUGAUAACAAAACUUUCCUAGCUGGCUUGUUAUUGUGAUGAAAUGACCAUUUAAGUGUCGUGCUAGAGGGGGAUUAGGAUUGGUCAGGACCAAUUUGUCCCUCAUGACCCCACUACCACCACCCUCCACCUCCACCUAAACCCCUCGCCCUCACCACGGCACAACCCCACCGCCUCUGCCUCCGAUGUGUCUUAAACUGUCAUCGCUGCCUCUGCUGAAAUUUGUGAUCUCCAAAAUUCUGAUAGACUUAAUGUUUGAUUUGAUUUUCAAAUUAUUAUUAAACUUAAAUGGCACAAUAAAACAUUGAGUUUAUAAUUGUAAAUAACAACAUCAUUGGGAUAUAUUGUAAUUGAAAAGAGUUACAUUCAAUAUUGCAAUAUUGAAUUAAUGUUUUUUUUUUUUUUGCAAAUAAAAAAGUUUAAAUGCUUUAGAUAAAAACUAGGAAAUGAAUAUUUCCACUCCAAUUUUGAUAAUCCCACUUCUUUUUUCCACAAAUUCAUAAAAAUAUACAAUGCAAAAGAAUCAUGUGUGGAGUGGCAUUAUCAAAAAUGGAAGUGGCAUUAUCAUUUCCCUAAAAACUAGUUGGGACCAACAUAAACGCCAUCGCGAAGUUGGUUGAUAACAAUUAUGCUUUGCAUGAUCACUUUCAUUCAAGCUGAUACUUUGCUAAUAGCACUCAAGGAAUUUCUGGUGUUAGAGAGGAAAAUAUGAAACUUGUUAUGACUAACUUGUAAACAGGAAUAGGACCAUCGAGGUUAAACCUUCUGGAAAGAUUGCUUCGGGCACAACAGAGGUAAUAUAUCAUUAGUGAAUGAAUAGAAGUUUCUAUUUAUUACAGUUUUGUCUUUUAGACUACUUAUCUUAUUUAAGGCAUGAUAUCUAGUAUCAGCUGUCAAGUGGAUAAGAUAUUGAGCUAGCCCAUUGUGUUUUGUUUUCCAAAGAGGUGGGCCUGGUGCAUGAGGUUCUUGUUUUGGGGAUAGAGGAAUUUAACUUGAUAAAAAGAUAAGCAUAACCAUAUGUGAUUCUGCAGAGGUUUUCUCAUAAUUAUGGUGAAGUUCAAUUAAAUAUCUGAUUUCUAGACUUGCAACCAUCUGGAAGAUUAAGCUUUUAAGAAGCUGUUUUGUUAUAUGAUUUUACCCCUUAAUGAGUGUCUUGUCUCAUCUGGAUUUACUUUCUCAUUUUUGCCAAAAAUAUGAUACUGUCCUACGAAACAAAUCUGAUCUCACUGUUCGAAUAACAUAGUUGGAUUUGUUCUUGCAGUUCCUGUCUUAAGUUGGCUUUUCUGAACAAAAUAAUAUUUGACAUACUAUAAUGUUCUUUUGAGUGAAAAUUUAGUACCAUAUUUGACAGGUUUUCCUAUUAAUUUGAUUUAACCUAGUUCACUGUGUUCAUAUUCAUUUAAAGGUUUGCAAUCUUGUGGCAGAUACCAUUUUCGGUGACCCUUAGACAGCAAGGUGAAAAUUUGGAAAAGUUUUAUGAGACUUUCCAUGGGGCAAAUAUAAGUAUCCAGGUAAUGUAAUGGAAGAUGCUUUCUUAGCCGACUGAUCUACAUGAUUAAAUUUUCACCACCAUUCAUACUAUUGAUUAUUAUCUCUCUUUUUGACAUUUGGUAAAGAAGUUGGCUUUGAUCUUAAUCAAGGUUGAAUAUUUUUACACUAAUAAAGUUUGGUGAUGCCAUAUGGUUCACUGAUGGUGUAAAUUCUUAGAAUUGAAAAUUGAUCAAAAUUAACUCAUUUUACACAUGUAAGUCUCUGUUUUAUUUAUUUAACUUAUCAACUAAUUUCGACAGUUGGUGAUUGAUAGCCUUUAUAGUAUUUGGUGACUGUAGAUGUGACUCGCGGAUACUUACAUAAAUCUUUAUCAACAACAAUGGAGUUCAUUGUUGAAAGUGAUAAAGGUAUAAGUUCGUUGCAAUCAAAUGUUCUGUUUUUAUACAUUUAUUCACGUAAUCAUGAUUAAACUACUAGUAUUUCUUUUGUUUGUGGAUUUUUUCAGCUGAUCUUCUACAACGGCCAAUUCCUCCAGAAAUGGUCAUCUUCUACAUAACCCAGGACACUCAACGACACUCUCUGCUUCCUGAAUUAAAAUCUGGUGUGUUGUUCUUUUAUUUAAGGGUAUACUUUCUACUCAGGCUUCGUUAAAACCAUUUAUCUUAUUGCUUUCACAUUUCUCAUUUACUGUGGCAGAUAUUAACUUGCUUGUGUUUGUUGGUAAUGAACUUGAAUAAUAGUAUUUGCAAACAUUUUAAUGGAAAAAAUCAUGAGGUUAAUGCUGAUGUAUUGUUGAAUAGGUGGAUUUCGGGUGAUGGGGAAGAUCUCUUCUCAGUGUUCUUUGGCUGGUCCUAUUAGUGGUGAGUUAACUGUAGAAACAUCUGCAGUUCCGAUUCACUCAAUCGACAUUCAGUUGUUUCGUGUUGAGUCCAUUCUUCUUGGGGAGAAAAUUGCAACUGAAACAUCUUUGAUACAAACGACCCAGGCAAGUGAUACAAAUUUAAAAGCAUUUGAAAUUAAAACAAUGUUUUAACUCCCUUUCCAUUUAUCAGAUAGCAGAUGGAGAUGUAUGCCAUAAUUUGACUAUACCUAUCUAUGUAAUACUUCCACGGCUUCUGACGUGUCCAACAACUUUUGCUGGGUAAGUGUCUUGUUCUUGAUAAUUUCCAUUCAGUGUAUUGCACAAUAGUAAUUGUUGUAACUUUUUGCAUGUGAUGUGCUCAAGGAUACUCGGUAAACUAUAUUUCCAUUUCAUAAAUAACCUUAUAAUAAAUUGUUUCAUAUUUGCUUGUGAAAAUUCUUGGAUCCUACACUCCAAAUCUUGAUGGCUUGAUUGAUGUCUAUUGUUUUAUUUUAUUCUCUCUCUAUUUCCAUGCAGUCCCUUCUCAAUUGAGUUCAAAGUUGCCAUUGUCAUAAGUUUUCAGUCAGAGCUAUCUCAACUGCAUAAGAAGACUGACUCCGGAACUCCAAAACUUUGGGUAAAUUCAGUUCCAUUUUCCCCAAAUAGCAGUUCAUUUGUCAUUUAUUGUUCUUCACUUUAUUAAGGAUCCUUUUAUUUUCCAAUUUCCUUUAUGAAAUUUCAGCUAGCAAUGGAAACAUUGCCGCUCGAGUUGGUUCGGACAAAGUAAGGUUGUGUAUAAGAAUGCACCAAGCUAUAGCAGGCAGGAAGUGGAUAUAUUGUUUGAUAUAACAUUUGAGUUGGUUUCAAGUGAAUUGGCUUUCCAUUUCAUGUAAUGUAACUUCCCAAGAUUUGGAACAGUGAUACUUGAAAAGUCUCAUGUAGACUUUACAAGUGUUGAUUACAACCAUAUAAACUAAGAUUAAGACUCACCGGAUACGCGGAGAGCUAAAUUAAUUAUAUUAUAUAGUAUAAAUUUAAAAUGCUAUAUAUUUCUUCGGGAUAUUAACUGUUAUUUUGUAAUUUAAUUGAAUAAUAAUAUAAAUUAGAUUUAGAGAAAAGGAUAAAUAGGUCUUUGAUUUUUUUUUUCGUGGACAUUUUUGUGUCCGAUGAUUGAAAAAUAUAUUCAUGUUCCUGACUUUUUAAAAAUGUGGACAAAUCUACCCUGCCUCCUCCCUUCCGGGUUAAACUCAGUACGUUAGCCCUGUCGGAAAACGUUGACGUGUCUCUUGUGGCAUUGAUCUGGCCGUUAUGGGAUGACACAUGGGCUAGAUCAUUUGAAAAUAGGACAUAUUAGUCUCCAGACUCCAAAACGACGCCGUUUAUCCCUCACUCCUCCAAACAUAGUUUAAUUCCCAUAUGCAAAUACCCAUAACACCCAUGUUUGCUCUUUUGAAUUAUUGAAAACCUAAGAAGACAAAUGAUCAAAGCCCCUCCCCCUGUUUCUCCCUCCAAAAAUUACACUACGUGGAAGAGCAAUCGGUGUGUGGUGAAGUUGAUGCGGGAGGCUCAGAAGGAAGUUUCUGUUGAGGUCGUAAUUGCUGUCUUCAUCAGAAAGUAAGAUCGUGAUGCUUAGCGUUUAAGGUUUGGUUAUUGUGGUGUGAACAAAGGGUGAAGGCAAUGUGUGUGCAUGUUGAGAGUGUGGGUAACAGUGGUGUAAUGAAGGGGAAAAACUCUUUUGAAAACGUGCGUAGGAUUAGAAGGAGGGAUUGUGUUCGAGGAAAGGGAUUUUGUUUAUAUUUUUUGUAACUGUUUUUGGACUGACAUGUUGUUGAUAAUUGGUUAAUUUCAGAUGGUUGAUGUUUUUGUGGUCCCGAUUUUUCACCAUGGAGGUAACUUUGUCAGAGAAAGUGAUGGAGCCUUGGUUUAUCAAAAUGGGAAGGAAGAGAGGUUCCCUGAGAUGGACCUGGACUUUGUGAACUUCAGAGACCUUGUAAUGUUAUUUAAGGGUUUGGGAUACCAGUCAUAUAAGGAAGUAUACUGGUAUGAUCCCACAAGUAGCGACAUUGAGUCUGGACUGAACAUGUUAACUGGAGAUGCAGGAAUAAAUGCAAUGCGAGAGAACAUAUUGAAGAACCAAAAGACUUCUGAGUUCCAUAUAUACUUUGAUCACGAAGUCGAUGUCCUUAAGGUCGUUGAAGAUGCUGGCAAGAAUAGUGACGGGGUAGUGGAUGUGGAUGUGGAUGGGAUUUUAGAGGAACUGAAGACAUUCUCUUCAUCAAAUGACGGGUACGAAAGCACGGAAGAUGUGCUGUACAAACCUCCACCAGCUGGAGUAGAGACCUAUAGUACUAAAAAUAACAGUAAUGGAGGGGUCGCUGGUUGUAAGAGAAAAAGAAGUACCAAUGGGUGAAAAAAAGGUAGUGACUCCGAAAAAGCCAGUUGCAAGGAGGCAAGGGUCAAAGAAAAAGUUUAAGGUUGGAAAGAAGAUGGUUCAGCAUAGGACAAGGGUGAAUGUAAGAGGAGAAAAUAGUGCAGGCACUAAUGCUGGUGGUCAGGGGACUGAUGGGCCAAAUGAUCAAGGAGGUGGUGAUGAUAAUCCUGGUAUGUAGCCGGAUAAUGCAGGGGUAGGGAGAUUCUAUGUCAGUGAAGUGCCAACAGAAAUGGAGAAAAUUGUAUUUGAGUAUGAGUCCGAGGCGUUGCAUACACCCAUUUCAUCCGAUGAUGAAUGUAAUAACAGGAGAUUUUCUGAGGGAUCAAAACAAUACUUAUCCCUAAAUAAAAUGUCUAAGAAUGAUUGUGAAACUAUUUUGUGAUUUGUGUAAGUAAUAAAAAAAUUCAAUUGAAGUUUAUUCAUCUAAUUUUAUAUAAUUAAUUUUUAUUUUUAUUUUUAAAUAGUUAGUUUUGUUUAUUUUUGUUUAUCUUUUUAGGUUAUUUAUAUAUAUAUAUAUAUAUAUUUUAUUUAUUUAUUUAUUUUUUAUCUUUUUAAGGUUAUAUUUAAAUAUUAUAGUACAAUAAUAAAAUUAUUAGAUAAAAUACCAAUAUGAAUAUUAUUAAUGUUUUGAUAGUUAAAAAUGAUAUUUAAUUUUUUAAUUUUAUUUUUCAUGAAUUAUGACAUGUAUUUUCAACGAUAUUACUACAACUAAAUGAUAUUAAAAAAAUAUAAAUGAUUGAAAGGAAAAAGAAAUUAUAUAUAGGCGAUAAAAAUAAUAUAUAACUCAUGAAUACAAUUACACAAAGAAAUAGAAAAACUAAUGGAUAUACUCACUUAAUACAUACGUUUAACAAAUUAAAAAAAAUAAAAAUAAAACUAUAAUUAUCUACUAAAUUCUAAUUGUGCAAAAAGUUAGCAAGAAUUGAGAGAGAGAAGCAAAAAAGAGAAAAAGGUAUGAGAUUCUGCGAGAGGAGAUAAAAAAAUGUGUGAAAUAAAUGUUGAUUUAUAUAGUAAGAAAAAAUAUAAAAGUGAGUAAUGAAUAUGAAAGAAGAAGAGAAUGAAUUAGUUUUUAAUUAAAUUUUUAUAUAUUAAAAAAAUUUAACAUUAACAUUGAAAGUAAUAGUGUAACCUACAUAAAAAUAAAGGAUAAUUGCCGAAAUAAAUACCCUUUUCUUAGUGAUAAUUUUGCAUGUAUCUCGUUUACAGUGUAAACGAGAUAAGACAAAUGUAUGCGACACGUGUUUAUCUCUGUAAACGAGAUAUAUAUCUCGUUUAAAAUGAUUAAAAUGGAUAUGUUUGAUCAAUUUUAGUACAUUUUAAAUGAUAGGAUUAACACAUUUACUUGAAAAUCAUUAAACUGUCCACUAUUAACACGGUUACCUAUUUUCUAACUACCCUGUUUAAAAAUUUAAAAUAUAAUUUAUUUAAUGACUCAGUUAAUACAUGUCAUUACUCUAUUGGUAUAUAAUUUUUAUCUUUUUUACUUAAAUAUGAAAGAAACAAAUAUAUUAAUAAUGUAUAGUUAAAAAUAUAUUUGUAACUGCUCAUUAUUAAUAGUGUGCUGCAAAUAUAUUUGUACCUACCCAUUACUAUUUACACGUGAUUUAUUUAAUGGAUAGUUAAAAAUAUAUUUAUAACUACCCAUUAUUAAUAGUGUGCUGGAAAGUGGAAAUAUAUUUGUAACUAUCCAUUAAUUCACAUGUAAAUAGUAAUGGGUAGUUACAAAUAUAUUUCUAGCACACUAUUAAUAAUGGUAGUUAUAAUAUAUUUGUUUCUUCCAUAUUCACCUAUUUUUUUCGUUUGUACGGAAGUGGGAAGUACAUAUAAAUUUUUUUUAUUGGAUGGGAGUACAUAAAAAUUUGAAAUAUAAUUCAAGUAAAAGAGGUUUCAUAUUAUAUACCAAUAGAGUAGUGACAUGCAUUAAUUGGGUUAUUAAAUAAAUCACGUAUACUUAAAUUAUAUUUUAAAUUUUUAAACAGUGGUAGUUAGAAAAGAAAUAACCGUAUUAACAGUGGGCAGUUUAAUGGUUUCCAAGUAAACGUGUUAAUUCCUAUAAUUUAAAAUAGACUAAAAUUGAUCAAACAUAUCUAUUUUAAUCUCUUUUACCAACUUUUUUAUGUACUAAUUGCAUGACAAAAGUUUGGAUUAUUGAUAUUAUUAAUAUUUUUAUUAUUUCUAUUUUAAAAAAAUACAUAUAUCUCGUUUACAGUGUAAAUGAGAUAUAAUAUAUUUUGUUUACAGUUUUANNNNNNNNNNNNNNNNNNNNNNNNNNNNNNNNNNNNNNNNNNNGAGGUAGGGGGCUUUCAGCCAAUCGCAAAAGAUCCUAGAGUUUGGAAUCGUGAAGAAUAUCAGCGCUUGGAGAAGGACUCUUUCUCGGUGUUUGUGGAUAAUCUACCGGAGGAUAUUUCUAGGAGGGAAUUGUAUCACUUGUUUGGUUGGACGGGAAGGAUCAAUGACAUCUAUCUCUGUCGGAAAUAGAAGAAUGGCCAGAUCUAUCUCUUUGCCUUUGUCCAUUACACAACAAAAGGAGGCACUCUCAAGGCUGUUACCGAGAUGAACCAAUGGCGAUUACGGGGGAGGGUGAUUAACGUCGGAGAAGCCAAGUUUAGAAGGUCUGGACAGACGCGGGCACGACUGGGGAAUAUGGACUCGGGGAGCAAGCAAGGAAGAGGGCCAGAGGACUCUCGUAGGGGGAAAGAGGUAGCUCCUGCCCCAUUAGUAGAGCAACAGCCAGGGAGUAAGCAACUGGAAACCUAUUCGGGUAAUGGAGGUACGAAAAGAAUUGAGGUGGCCAUCGUCGAGGCAAAUAUGAGUUGGUUGAGGAGGAGCUUGGUGGGGUUAACCUUGAAGCCUUUGGAUCCAAAAUCUUUGAAGAACAUGGUGUGUACGAAUAUGCCACACAUUGUGGACAUCAGGGAGAUUGGGGCAUGCAAAGUGUUGCUAACCUUUGAUACUGUGCAACAUGCGGACGAGGCAUUUACUUUCAGACUGAAUACUUUGCUGCAUGUCUUUCAUAGAGUGUGGCGUUGGGAGGAGGCGGACCGCUGUGACACUCGAAGAGUGUAGUUGGAGUGCUAUGGAAUUCCUCUGCAUGUUUGGUCUCCGGAGACGAUUAGAACAGAAGCACGACAAUGGGGUGAGGUGCUUCAGUGUGACGUACCGGUAGAGGAAGGUGUGUCGUUUCGAACUGGAAGGGUCCAAGUGGAGACACGGGUGUUUGACAUAAUACGAGAGUGGGUUCAUAUCUCGGUUGAGAANNNNNNNNNNNNNNNNNNNNNNNNNNNNNNNNNNNNNNNNNNNNNNNNNNNNNNNNNNNNNNNNNNNNNNNNNNNNNNCACCCAUGGUAAGGGCCUGCCGACGGUGGCGGUGCAGUGGGAUCUGGCGGCGGAUUUGAUUCAAGGCGGUGUAAUGGAGGCUGAUAAAGACAAUGACAUAUUAGUAAUUCAAGAUGUGCUGUUAAAUGAUGUUAACGUUGAUUAUUUGAAUUCAAAAAGGGGAAGAAGGUACUAAAUUCAAUUAGCUGUACCAAGGAGGAAGGAGGUGCGGUUUCUAAGGGACUUGAGAUGAAUACGGAAGAGGAGUCUGAGAGAACGGUUAUAGAGGUGUGUGGUACAGAGGGAAGAGAAGUUAGUCAAUGUGCUAUCUAUGAUAUGGGCCGUUUGUGGUGUUCCCAUGAUAGAUGGAGUAAAGUGGGGAGGGAUGAGUUGGGCUUGGGGUCCCGUGGCCCAAUAGCCACUGAAGAACGAAAUUCUCGUGCGAUCUAGAAUUUUCACAAAUAAGUUUCCGUUGUAAGUAUAGCUUCUAGACCGACAAGAAUUCCUUUCUUACAAACGUUUUGGUUGUCACAAGUAACAAACCCCUUAAAAAUUGAUAACCGAAGUAUUCAAACCUCGGGUCGUCUUCUCAAGGAAUUGCAGGGAGGUAUGUUCUUAUUAUUGGUUAUGAGUUUUGUAAAUUGGGGUUUUGAAAGUAAGGAACAAGUAAUUUAAAUGACAAGUAAAAUAAAUAAAUAACUAUAAAAUAAACUCUUGGCAAAAUAUGAAAAUUCGGAAGUCCUAUCCUAGUUAUUCUUAUGAGAAUUGAGUUUAACCCCACUUAGUUAACCUAAAGCAAAGGAAAGUCAAGUGGACUAAUUAGUUAGAUUCCCAAGUCCUAGCCAACUCUUAAGGAAAGACUAGAGUUAGUGGAAUUCCAGUCAAUUAGAGGAAUUAAUCAACAAUCACGAUAAGUUUAAUAACUCAAGAGCCUCCAGUUAAUCAAUUAAAGCCAAGAAUAUAAAAAAAGCUAAAUAAGAAUCAUAAAUUUGAAAUACCUCAAUUUAUAUCAAAUAAAGAAAAUCCUAACAUGAAUGGUUCAUAAGCCAAUUUGGAAAAGAAGAAAAUCAAUAAGAAAAAUAAGUAAACCAAAGUACUAGAAUAAAUAAAAGUAGAAGAGAAACUAAAUUAAAAGAACAUUGAACCUGUGAUGAAGAAGAAAUAAUCCUAAAUCCUAAGAGAGAGGAGAGAACUUCUCUCUCUCUAAAAACUACAUCUAAUCCUAAAAUUAUGAAUUAUGAAAGCAUGAUCGACCUGUUGUAUCAUGAAUGGAUGCAUUCCCCCACUUUAUAGUCUCUAAUCUGUGUUUUCCGGGCUGAAAACUGGGUCAAAAACAGCCCAGAAAUCACCCCCCAGCGAUUUCUGUUACGUUCAGGUCGCGGCAAAGUGACGCAGAGGUGUCGUACACGCGUUUGCGCGGAUUGCACUUUUGCCAGGUCACGCAUCCAUGUGAUCUACGCAUUUGCGUCGUUUGGCGUCGGGGCAGCUAUGAAAAAUUAUAUAUCAAAUCGAAGCCCCAGACAUUAGCUUUCCAACGCAACUGAAACCAUCUCAUUUGGACCUUUGUAGCUUAAGUUAUGACCGUUUGAGUGCGAAGAGGUCAGGCCGGACAGCUUUGCAGUUCCUUCAACUUCUUGUAUUCCUUCCACUUUUGCAUGCUUCCUUUCUAUCCUCCAAGCCAUUCCUGCCCUGUAAUAUCUGAAAACACUUAACACACAUAUCAAGGCAUCGAAUGGUAAUAAGAGAGGAUUUAAAAUUAGCUAAAUUAAGAUCAAAGAAACAUGAUUUCAAUCAUAGUACAAAAUCAGGAAGGAGAAUGUAAACUCAUGCAAAUAGUAUGAAUAAGUGGGUAAAGAGUUGAUAAAAUCCACUCAAUUGAGCACAAGAUAAACCAUAAAAUAGUGGUUUAUCAACCUCCCCACACUUAAACAUUAGCAUGUCCUCAUGCUAAGCUCAAGAGAAGCUAUAAAGAUGAAGAGGACUGGUAGAUUAAUAUAAAAUGCAACCUAUCUAUAUGAAUGCAACUACACGCAAAAUAUUUCUACCUACUUGGUUAAAAGUAAAUAAGUUAUCCAAGACAAAAAUAAUUCAAAUUUCACUUAUUAAAAUCAUAUAAAAUAAAGACAAGUAAACUUGUAAGAAGAUAGCUCAUGAAAGCAGGGAACAUAGAAUUAAGCACUAAAUCCUCACUGAUAAUGUAUAUGCACUCUAGUCUCUCAAGUGUAUAGGGUAAUCACUCUACUCUUCUCUAAUCAUGCUUUCUAAACUUUUGUUCUUCACCUAACCAAUCAACAUUAUUUAAUGUACCAAUGCAAAUAUCAUGAGGUCUUUUUCAAGGUUGUAAUGGGGUUAAGGUAAGGGUAAAGGUAUAUAUAUGGCUAAGUGAGCUAUAAAUUGAAUCUUUGACUAACCAAGCUCUCACCUAACAUACAUACACUCUAUAUAACUCUAGAAUCAUGCCUAGCUACCCAAAAUUUCUACUUUUGCAUCACAUACUCAUGUAUCAACUUUUCUUUUUAAUUUAUCACAUGUGCAUUGAUCUUUUAUUAUUAAACUUAGUAUUGGGGUAAUUUUGUCCCCUUAUUUAUUUACUUAUUUAUUGAAUAUUUUUUGGAUUUUUUUUUUGGAUUUUUUUUAACAUGAAAAUAAACAUAGCUUAUCAAUGCACAUGGAUUUUUGAUUUUUCUAGUCUCACAUGAGUAGGUACCCAAAUUUCCAAUAUUUUAUCAAAGUAAAAACGUAACACAUUCUCUUAUUAACCCAUGUUCCCACAGUUUUCCUACACUUAAUUGUUACACAAUCCCUAUCUUAAGCUAACCAAAGAUUCAAUUGGGAUAUUUAAUUGUUUUUCUGCUUAAGGCUAGUGAUGUGGUAAAAUACAAAACAAAUGGGGAUUAAAAGGCUCAAAGUGGCUGACAAGGGUGAUUUAAAGGGUAAGCUUAUUUGGGAUAAGUGAGCUAAAAUCAAACAAUGGCCUCAAUCAUAUGCAAGCAUGUAACACAUUAAACAUUGGACAUAUAGGAUGAAACAAAAUAAAGAUUACAAUCAUAGAGAAGUAAACACACAAGAAUAAAAUAUUUAUGGUUAAAUAAUGUAACCAUAUAAAUAAGCUCAAAAUCUCACGGGUUGUGUGUUCUUAACUUUUUAAACUAUGUUCCAAAUACAACUUCAAACAAAUUUAACACAAAAAUUUUGAUUUAAAUUAGUGAAAUUUUUUCAAAAAUAGAGUCUUAGAAGAAACUCAUUACUUUAACCAAGCAGUAGCUAAAUGCAUAAAAUCAAACAAACAUGCAAUUAAACAUGCAAAUGCAAUAAUGAACAAACAAAGAAAAUAAAACAAUGGUGUUGGAAAGAAGAAAAUAGCUAACCCAUGGAGAUCGGUAUCGACCUCCCCACACUUAAAGGUUGCACCGUCCUCGAUGCAUGCUAAGAUGUACAAGUGGAUGGGCUGCUCCAACUGAUGCCUUUUUCUAUAGAUUGUGCAGAUUGACUUGCAUGUCCCCCCAUAUAGAAGUUCUUCCUUUUUCCUUUCUCGGUGGCCAUCCUGAAAGAAGAGGAAAAGGGGAAAAAGUAACCCAGAAAUAAAGAUAAUAAAUAAAAUAUGGGUUGGUAAUGCCAAAUAAUAAAGGUCUCAAUUACAUGGUAGCUACAACAUGCAGUGAGAAAACAGUAGAAGCAUACGGCAUAUCAAUAGUGCAAGAAUUGCAACAAUGGAAGAGGGUGUGGGUAAUGCGAAAUAGUGUAAGUGCAUAUCAAUGCAAAAGGAAUAUCAGUAUUAUAAAAAUUAGCAUUGACUUAUGAAUAAUAAUACCCAAUUAGAAUAAAACAAGUCAUGAAGCACCAGAAUAAUUCAAAAAGAUGUAACAGUUGAAUGAGAAAAUUUUAACACCAAUGAAAAAAAUAAUAAUUUUAGAAAAAAAAAUAAAAAAUAUGCGCAAAAUUAAGAUGCAAUGAAUGAAAUAUGUAAUUAAAUUAAGUAAAAUAAAAUGAAAGAUAAGAAAAAUGAGAAGGGAAAGAAAGGAAGAAGAAGUAAGCAAGAAAGGAGGGGGAAAAAUUAGGAUUGGGGAAGAAAAGAUGAGAUUUUUUGCGCUGAUUUGGAUAAGCUGUGCUGCGCGGGCGACGCGAACGGGUGAGUGACGCGGUCGCGUGGUGCGCGAUAAGGUCAGGUGAUGCGAACGCGUGGGUCACGCGAUCGCGUGGGUCACGCGAUCGCGUGGCCUGAUUUGUGCGAUUGGCGCGAGUGCAGCCUCGCGUUCGCGCAACUCUCUGUUUUAAAUGCAUUUUGCCAAAAUCUGGGUGACACGUUCGCGUGGGUUAAAUAUUGAAAUUUGAAAUUUGAUUUUUGAAAUAAGAUAAGAUAAGAUUUUGAAAAAGAUAUGAUUUUUGAAAAAUAUUUGAAUUUUGAAAUUUAAAACUAAGAUAAGAUAAGAUAAAAAAGUUUUAAAAUAAAAAUCUGAAUUUUUAAAAAGAAAAUUCGAAAAUCUAAUUAAAAUAAAGAGAAAAGAUAUUUUUGAAUUUAAUGAGGAAAGAGAAAAUAAUAAAAUGACAUCAAACUUAAAAUUUUUAGAUCAAAACGAAGAAAACAACUAAGAACAACUUGAAGAUCAAGAUGAACACGAAGAACAAAUUUUUGAAAAAAAAAUUUAAUAACUAAAUAAAAACCAAUAAUCUCUUAAUUUAUGAAAAAGCAAAAAUAAAAACAAAAAUAAAAACAAAUAAAUAAGCAAAAAGCAAAUAUUUACAAUAACCAAUAAUAAGGCACACGUUUGCAAUUCCACGGCAACGGCGCCAUUUUGAAGAACGAAAUUCUCGCGCGAUCUAGAAUUUUCACAAAUAAGUUUCCGUUGUAAGUAUAGCUUCUAGACCGACAAGAAUUCCUUUCUUACAAACGUUUUGGUUGUCACAAGUAACAAACCCCUUAAAAAUUAAUAACCGAAGUAUUCAAACAUCGGGUCGUCUUCUCAAGGAAUUGCAGGGAGGUAUGUUCUCAUUAUUGGUUAUGAGUUUUGUAAAUUGGGGGUUUUGAAAGUAAGGAACAAGUAAUUUAAAUGACAAGUAAAAUAAAUAAAUAACUAUAAAAUAAACUCUUGGCAAAGUAUGAAAAUUCGGAAGUCCUAUCCUAGUUAUUCUUAUGAGAAUUGAGUUUAACCCCACUUAGUUAACCUAAAGCAAAGGAAAGUCAAGUGGACUAAUUAGUUAGAUUCCCAAGUCUUAGCCAACUCCUAAGGAAAGACUAGAGUUAGUGGAAUUCCAGUUAAUUAGAGAAAUUAAUCAACAAUCACGAUAAGUUUAAUAACUCAAGAGCCUCCAGUUAAUCAAUUAAAGCCAAGAAUAUAAAAAAAGCUAAAUAAGAAUCAUAAAUUUGAAAUACCUCAAUUUAUAUCAAAUAAAGAAAAUCCUAACAUGAAUGGUUCAUAAGCCAAUUUGGAAAAGAAGAGAAUUAAUAAGAAAAAUAAGUAAACCAAAGUACUAGAAUAAAUAAAAGUAGAAGAGAAACUAAAUUAAAAGAACAUUGAACCUGUGAUGAAGAAGAAAUAAUCCUAAAUCCUAAAACUAAAUCCUAAGAGAGAGGAGAAAACCUCUCUCUAUAAAAACUACAUCUAAUCCUAAAAUUAUGAAUUAUGAAAGCAUGAUCGACCUGUUGUAUCAUGAAUGGAUGCAUUCCCCCACUUUAUAGCCUCUAAUCUGUAUUUUCCAGGCUGAAAACUGGGUCAAAAACAGCCCAAAAAUUGCCCCCAGCGAUUUCUGUUACGUUCAGGUCGCGGCAAAGUGACACGGAGGCGUCGUCUACGCGUUUGCGCGGAUUGCACUUUUGCCAGGUCACGCGUUCGCGUGAUUUACGUGUUCGCGUCACCUGGCGUCAAGGAAGCUAUAGCAAAUUAUAUAUCAAAUCGAAGCCCCGAACGUUAGCUUUCCAACGCAACUGAAAUCAUCUCAUUUGGACCUCUGUAGCUCAAGUUAUGACUGUUUGAGUGCGAAGAGGUCAGGCCGGACAGCUUUACAGUUCCUUCAACUUCUUGUAUUCCUUCCACUUUUGCAUGCUUCCUUUCCAUCCUCCAAGCCAUUCCUGUCCUGUAAUCUCUAAAAACACUUAACACACAUAUCAAGGCAUUGAAUGGUAAUAAGAGAGGAUUUAAAAUUAGCUAAAUUAAGAUCAAAGAAACAUGUUUUCAAUUAUAGCACAAAAUCAGGAAGGAGAAUGUAAACUCAUGCAAAUAGUAUGAAUAAGUGGGUAAAGAGUUGAUAAAAUCCACUCAAUUGAUCACAAGAUAAACCAUAAAAUAGUGGUUUAUCAGCCACUCUUGAAGAAAAUGGGCUGAGAGGUAAUUGGGCAAGGAAUAGGGACAGUUGGGCGGAUAGUGGGCUGGAACAGGGUGGGAGGAGGGAUGACCGAGUGUAUGGAGCUCCAUUUGUUGAGGGAAAUAACGCAGCGGGUGAUCUGCAAAUGCUGGAAGGGCGCCCAUGAGCGGACUGCGUGGCUGGCAAGGGUUCCACGCGAAAGCUGACGCCGCCAGGGGAAUUGCGACCGCCGGCAGGUUGGCUUUGGAGGCGGGGACUUGGAACUUGGUGGCAGAUCUGGAGGACACAGAUCUGAGCGCGGAGGAGGGAGUGGGCUGCGAUAUGGUGGGGUUGGGGAGGGGAGGACUGAACGCCCGAAGUGCAGGUUGGCGGCAGAAACAGGCGGCCAAGGCAGGAAGGAGGACGGGCAGGCUUCCUUGUGCUGAAUCCCUGUCAAGCCUGGACCGGGUAACCGGGGAGGAGAGGUUCUCGGCAGCAUACCGCACAGCAGUGGACGACAUCCAGUGUGUGGCUAACGGUGAGGAAAUGUUCGGGGAAGUAGUGGGGGCUGAAUUGGAAACAGGGCAGUGUUCCGGGGGUGCUGAAGACAGGGAGAAGCAGGAAAAAUAGCGGCAGGAAAAUGAAGCAACCUGGGCUCUGGCAGUAGAAUUGGGAGCUUUUUUGUAUGAUGAGGAGGACGAUAUUAUGAGAAUUCUGCAAGCACAAAACGAGGAAAUAGAGGCAAAGAAAAGGUUGGCGAAGCAAAAGGAAAAAGCAAAAAGGAGUCGGCCGAAGAGUAAACCUAAAGUGAGUAAAAAAUGGAUUAAAUGAUUGUCAGCUGUUGGAAUAUUAGGGGGUUGAGGGGAGACGGAAAGCUAAGUAUGGUGAAAUCGUUGAAGAAGAAGUAUAAUUUGAACAUGUUUUGAUUGCUAGAAACAAAAAGAGAAGUGCUUACUAAGUAUGAUGCUGCCCAACUGUGGGGUCAUAGUUCUGUUGGGUGGGAGUUUGUGGAGUCUGUAGGGAUGGCUGGGGGUCUAUUAUUGAUGUAGGAUGAUGUAGUGUUCAAAGUACAGAAUUGUCAUAAAGGUGAGCAGUGGUUGUGCGUUGAUGGCACAUUAACCAAGACCAAUUUUCAUUAUGCUUUUUGUUUGGUGUACGGAGCCCAUGGGAGGGAGGAGAAGCGGGGGGUGUGGGAAGAGCUCAGCUAUGUUGCGGGUUUGUGUCAGGUACCAUUUUGUUUCUUUGAGGACUUUAAUGAAAUUUUACAAGCUGAGGAUCGCAAAGGGGUGAAUAGUUUACCGGCUUCAGCGGAGGAGUUUAAGAGUUGGAUACAUGACAUGCAGUUGGUGGAUUUACCGCUUACUGAUAGGAAGUUCACGUGGUUUAGGAGUCGAUCCUGUAGUCGGAUUGAUAGAGUUUUGGUCAAUAUAGAAUGGACGGAAGAGUUUCCUUCGGCUAAAAGGUGGUCCGCGGGGGUUGUCUGAUCACUGCCCGUUAAUUGUGGAAGGGACAAGGUUUGAAGGGGGCCCUAGACCGUUCAGAAGCCUGGAUUCCUGGUUUACGCAUGAGGGUUUUCUGAGUAUGGUGAAACCUGAAUGGAGAAGCUUGGGUGAUGCUCAGUUCAUGUGUAAACUGAAGGCUUUAACAGGUCUUCUGCGGCAAUGGCACAAGGAUACAUUUAGAGACACGGAUAAGAGACUGAUGAGGUGUGCAGAGGAGAUCACAAGACUGGACAAUUUAGUUAGCAAUGAGAUCUAUGAUGGUACAACAGAGGCGAGAAGGAAGGCGCUGGUGAGUUUUUGUGAAAAAUGGUACAUCAGGAAGGAAAUCCACUGGAAGCAGAUGUCUCGGUCCCAGCAUGCGGCUAACAUGGAUAAGAAUACUAGGUACUUCCAUCACAUUGCCUCGGCCAGAAGAAGAAAUAACAGGAUUGAUGCUCUGAUGAUCAAUGGAAGACUUGUGCGGAAUCAGGCCAGGAUUAAAGGUGCAAUUAGGGGAUUUUACAAAGAUCUAUAUCGGCAGGAAUAUGUUCCAAGGAUUGGUGUCAGGGAUGGGUUGGUUAACCAGAUUACUAGAGAGGAGGCUGAAGCAUUGGAGGUAUUGCCAUCGGAGGAUGAAAUCAAGGAGGCAGUGUGGGAUUGCGGUUCAUCGAAAGUGCCAGGGAGUGAUGGGUAUAACUUGAACUUCAUCAAAAAAUGCUGGGAGGACAUUGGUCCGGAAUUCAUUGCGACAGUACUAGGAUUCUUCCAAAGUGCUAAGUUACCAACGGAUUCGAAUGUAACUUGGGUGAUACUAGCACCGAAGUUGGAGGGUGCAAAGGAGGUGAAGGGCUUCCGGCCGAUUAGUAUGGUAGGGUGUGUGUAUAAAGUGAUUUCCAAGGUGUUGGUGAGGAGGAUGAGGUCUGUUAUGCCAGGGUUGGUGGGUGAGACUCAGACAGCAUUUGUAAAAGGUAGGAAGAUUCAUGAUGGCGCACUCAUAGCCUGUGAGACAGUUCAUUGGGUUUAGACACGGAAAAAGAAAGUGGCUAUUAUCAAGCUGGAUUUUCAGAAGGCUUAUGAUAGAGUGAGAUGGAGUUUUGUAGAUAUUGUGCUACAGAAGAUGGGAUUCGGCCUACGGUGGAGGAAUUGGGUGAAGGAGUGUGUUACUACAGCUACUAUGUCCAUCCUGGUAAAUGGGACACCUUCCAAGCCGUUCAAGAUAGAAAGGGGACUAAGACAAGGAGACCCACUUUCUCCACUGCUGUUUGUACUUGUGGUGGAUGUUCUGUAUCGGAUGUUGGGGGUAGCCAUCAGGAACGGGCAGAUUGCUCCACUGUUGGUAGGAGGAGAUCAUAUUGAACUGUCACAUCUUCAAUUUGCAUAUGACACAAUAUUGUUCUGCCCGCCAGAGAUGGAAACAAUCGUGAAUUACAAGAGGCUGCUGCGGAGUUUUGAGCUGAUGUAUGGGCUGAGCAUUAAUUUUGAUAAGUCAAACUUGAUCUCAGUGAACUGCAAGCAAGAGUGGAUUGACCAGGCGUGUGGCCUACUGGGGUGCCAGCAAGCUGAUCUACCGGUUAGAUACCUUGGGAUUUUCUUAGGGGCAAAUCCGCGCCUGGUGAAGAUGUGGAAACCAAUUAUAGAUAAGGUGAAAAAGAAGCUCAGUUUAUGGAAAGCGAAGGCGUUGAAUAAAGCAGGGAAGCUUGUCCUCAUCAAAUCAGUACUUAAUAGCCUACCCAUGUAUUACCUGAGUUUGCAUAAGAUGCCGCAGGCGGUGGCGGACAAGCUGAUUGCAUUGCAAAGGAACUUUCUGUGGUGCAAGGAGGACGAAACCAAUGGUAUGCCGAUGGUUAAGUGGGAGCUGGUCCAGGCUCCAAAGAAGGUUGGGGGCUUGGGGGUUGGGGAUGCCGUUCUUCGGAACACCGCACUUUUGUUUAAGUGGUGGUGGCGUUUUUCAAAGGAGGAUUGCCCGCUGUGGAAGAAGAUUGUUUGCUCUUGUAACAAGUUGAAUCCUACUGUCAUGUUAGCAACUCAGUCUUUACCGGUAAAAGGGGGCCUUGGAAAGACAUAUGUCAGCUGAAUGUCAAAGAGCAAAAGGUCCGAGAAAAAAUGGUUAGUGGACUGGCGAUGGAGGUAGGCAGUGGUAGGAAAACUUGAUUUUGGGAAGAUAACUGGGUUCAGGGUGGUCCUCUGAAAGAGAGAUUUCCAAGACUCUUCUCUAUAUCAGGCCAACAACGGGCUGUCAUUGGGGACUGUGGGUUUUGGGAUGGGAUGGAGUGGAUCUGGAACUUCCAAUGGAGGAGGGAGUUAUUCCAAUGGGAACUGGAACUUGUCCAUCAGCUACAUGAGCGGUUAGGGCCAGUGAAGCUGUCAUCUGAGAGCGAGGAUAACGUUGUGUGGAAGUUUGAUAAUAAAGGUAUCUUUUCUACGAAAUCCUUUAUGCAGGUCAUACAAUCGGAGACGCUGCCAAAUGAGAUCACGAGCUAUAGCUUCACAAGUGCAAUCUGGAGAGGCUGGGUACCCCUAAGAAUUGAGCUUUUUGAAUAGUUUGUGCUAGUUGGUAGAGUUAAGACUAAGGAAAGGUUGAUUAGACUAGGAGUUGUUACUAAUGGUGAUAAUAUUUGUGUCUUGUGUAACAAAGGGGUAGAAUCUGUUGAGCACUUAUUCCUUCUGUGUGAGGUAACAUGGCAACUGUGGUGCUUUUGGUUGCGGUCCUUGGGUAGGGAGUGGGUUAUUCCUGGAACCCUUAAAGAGCUGUUUGAGAGUUGGGGUGCCAUGCCCAACAGACGACAAGGGCAGAAGAUGUGGAUGACGGCAUUCUUUGCAGUGAUUUGGAACGUCUGGUUGGAACGUAAUGCCAGAAUUUUUAAUCAUCAAAGAGUAAGCAUUAACAUCAUUCAAACAAGGACGUUGUCCACUUACACUGAGUGGAAUGGCGGGAAUCCUUUUGGUGGUUAAGGGCAAUGCCAGAGAUGUCAGGAGAUUGGUUUAUCUGUUUUUAUUGUUUUUAUGUUUGUAUGUUUUGUUCCACUUAUAUGUGUUGAGCUUGCUGUACUUAAAAAAAAAACGAAAUACAUGUAAAAUUAUUUCGUUUACAGUGUAAACGAGAUAAGUAAAAAAUAUUUAUUUUAGUAAUUAUUAUAUUUAUUUAAUUUAUAAAAAUAAAAAAUUUGAAGAUAAAUCUUUCAUUUUAAAUAAUAGAAAAGAUCGAACACGUUAACACGUCUACUGAGGAAGCACAUGAGUACAUAGUUAAACUACCCACUAUUAACAUGGUUAUUUUUUUUUUCUAACUAGUAAAACUAUUGCUUCUUCCACUCAUUUACCUCCACGUGUUGAUCGUUUUUUACUAGGAUUUAUACUAAAUCAAUUCAAAUAAUAUUUCAAAUUUUUAACUGAGAUAUAAUUUUUAACGGACAAAAUUUUUAAAUUUUUUAUGUACUCUUUUGAGUAUUAAUUUUUAAAUUUAAAUUAUAUAUAUUUCAAAUUUUGUUUGUUGCAUAGAAAUACAUAAAAUUUUGAAAUAUAAUUUAAAUAUACGUAAUAGAAUCUUUUCUACUUAAGUUGGUUGUACAAAGUUUAUUACAGUAUGAUUCAAAUAUAUAAGUGUGCUUUGCAAGUAGGGGUGGCAACGGGGCGGGUAGGGGCGGGGUUNNNNNNNNNNNNNNNNNNNNNNNNNNNNNNNNNNNNNNNNNNNNNNNNNNNNNNNNNNNNAUCAUACAUCUAAAAGCUACUUUUAACUCUAUUUUAAUAUAUUACUAAUAAAUAUGCAAUUUUUUUCCCUCUUGGUGUCUCUGUCUACAUCUAACAUGACAUAUCAAUAACAAUUUAAUGGCAAAGUAGUGUAUAUACUAAUAUAGAAUCUCCAACUAAUUUGGCUCUUGUUUUAUAACCGCUGUGAUACAUUCAAUCAGCUCACACAUAUAACUCGAAAGAAAUAUAUUAUAUAUUACUAACUUUAUAAUUAAAAUGUGUUACAUAAUACUUUUUUUUAUUGUAAUUGAAUUAAAAUUUUUUACUCCAAAAUUAAGAAGACCUCUCUUUUUUUUCUUUCCUUUUUUAUAUUUCUUCUUUUUACUUAUUCAACUAGUGUAUGUUCCCGUGUCCUACACGGGAUAAUACAUAAAAUUAUAUAAAAUUUUUUAUUAAAAUUUAAAUAAAAAUAUACAUAGUAGUUAUUAUUAUAAAUAUUUUACAACUUAAAAAUAUUAAAAAUAAUUAAUAUUUAUUUUAAUCAAUUUAAAUUUAUUGAAUGGUCAUCUCAUUUGCUCGGUUAAGCAAGUAUUUGGAGUUUGAAUCUCACCUUGUGUGUAUCACAAUCCAUUAGUUAGCGACAUACCCUUAAUAAAUAGAGCAUCAGUAUGUGGUGGAUUAAUUCUCAACUUGCCAAGUUAGGAAAUCCAUAGAAAAAAAGUGCAUUUGUCUUUAAAAUAGAUUAAUUUUUCAUUAAUAGAAAUACUUAUAAAUUUUUGUUUUUUGUUGAAAUUUACUUGGGACAAUUUUAUUUAUUGCUAUCGUAUUCAUUCUUGAAAUCAAAAUAAUAUGAUCAACAUUGUUACUUGUUAAAACUUCACAUUUUAUGAAAUAAUUUUUAAAUUUUCAAAUUCAUAAACUUAUGUCAUUACAAAAGUUAUUAGAUCGAUUAAUGUUUUUUGGUAAUAUGGUGUAUCGAAACACCAUCGUUGAGUAUUAGUUAGUGUGAAAAGAAACCAAUAACAACUUUUGUUAUUCAAUAUAUAAUUUAUUCUAUUGAAAAAUAAAUUAGUAUUUUCUAAACUUGUAAAUACAUUCUCUUCUAAUUUUUUACACCAUUUUAUUUGACAAUAUUUAUCAUUAAAAAAUAGCAAAUGACCAUACUAUCUUACAAUAUAUAUGAUGUACAAAGUAAUUUCUUAUCUUAAAAUUAAUUUUGGUUAGUAAGAUAAAAUUUAAAAUAUUUUUUUAUUUUCUUACUCAAAUUUAAAUUUAAAUUUAGAAUUGAUUAACAAUUCAUCAUUUUUUUAAUUUCAAUAAAAAAUAAAUUAGUUAGAUACAAAAUAUUCAUCAUUUAAUAAUUUCAAUCAUUAAUCAUUUAAUUACCAAAAAUUAGAUUAGACUCAAGAUAUUAAUUUAAGAUAUAUUUGGGCCUAGUAAGACCUCAAUGCAAGCAAGAUCAACUAAAAUAUAUUGUUAGGGUCCCAAAGCAAAAAAAAUAUUAUCCAAAAUAUAUAAUUAAACAUCUUCAAGUUUAUAAUCAAUCAAACAUAAAAUAUAAUCCAAAAUAUAACUUAAAACUUCUUCAAUUAUCAUCUUCAUCCUCUUGUAGAUCAAUAACAUCAUAGAAAUUUGUAAAAAAAUGACUCUACUAAAAUAAAAGCUUGACCCAGCGGUAAAGCCUGCCCCGCCCCGCCGAAGCCCGCCAAAUCCCGUGGAUUAGGCGGUGCAGGGUAGGCGGGAUUUUUAAGUUUGGUGGUCAUAAAUUUCCAGCCCAACCCGCAUUUUUUGGCGGGUUAUGCGACCAGCUCGAUAGGUUUUGACCCGUUUGCCACCCCUAGUCCAUCCAUUUUCGCGUGGCAGGUCGUGAGGAUUUCAGGAGUCCCCGUCUAACUCCAAAACGCGAGUAAUCCCUGCAAAUACCCGUUUCGGCUGUUUUUGUGAUCAUCUUUAUUGCUAGCAUUCAUUGGUUCGUGACAUGGAGCUAUUCUAGCCACUCAAUAAAUUCUCAUAUAAUCAAAGUUUAGGUUAUAUCAUUUUUAUAAAGUUACAUGUAUUUUAUUAUAACAAUAUUAAUAAAAGAUAAAUGGAUAAAUACUAAACUAUUGUUUGGAUAUAAGAUAAAAAAUAAGAGGAAAGAAAAUGAAAAGAAAAGUAUAUUUUUUUGUGUGCUGUUUAGAUGAAAAAAAAAUGAAUGAAAAGAAAAUAGAGAAAAUUUUUUUUUCUUGAAUGGAAGGAAAAGUAAGAAGAGAAAAAAUCAUAAUAGAGAAAAAUUAUAUUAAUGUUUUUAUAUAUUAUAUAUAAAUUAUAAUUCAAAUGGUAACUCUAUAUUUUUAUCCAUGUUUGCACUUUUGAAUCAGUUUUCUUCGCAACUUUGAAGAGAAAAAAUUUACGUGACCUCCAUAUACAUUUUUAUGUUUUUCAUUCAAUUUCUUUGUUGAACCAAAUAAUGAAAAAUUGAUUUUUUCAUCCAUUUUCUUUUUCAGCAUGUUAUUUCUCUACAAAUUCUUCUAAUCUAAACAAUGCAUAAAUAUGUCAUCUAUUCUAUUAUAUAUAACAAUAACUAAUAUCACAUAUUAGGAUAAUUUACGUUGAUAAGCCAAAGUCACCCUAAAAUUACCUGAAUCCCCUAAACCCAAUAACGUUACCUAGUUGUCUCCAUUUACAUUUCCAUAUAAAUCGAAUUUAAUGAAUUCAAAUUAGGGUAAUAAGUAGUAAAUCUAAUUUAUAUUUAAUAAUUUACCUCUAACUUAUGGUAAAAAUGUAAGAUAUGAAAACAUAAUCAACUAUGUUAUAUUUACAUGAAAAAUCAAUCACCAAUUAGUCACAUUGUAUAAGAAUAUGCAGCUAGUGUUUACCAAAAAAAAAAUGAUUAUAUUGCUACAAAAAAUUUAUUGUUUGGCUAUUAUAGGCGUGAGUUUGAUAUAACUACGGUAGAUUUUAUUUGGGUGAUGGAAUGAUACGUGUGAAAUAACAUGUAAUAUUAUAUACAAAAUGUAUAGUACCACUUUUAAUGUUUAUGGAGCACUUUUGAAACACAACAGCAUCAUCCUUUCUGCCAAAAAUUAAUCUGUCACGAAUCUAAACUUCAUUUAAGGGUCUGUCGUUGACUAAUGAAUUAUUACAUGCAGUUUGUUAGAAUAUAAUUAGGAUCAAUUAGAAUUAUUUAGUAUAUCUGAAUACUUAUUAUAGAAUAUUACGUCUUUAUUAUUACGAUUCUCUUAGCCCUAUAAAUACCCUUCUAUAUUGUAUCAUUCUAUACAACUUGAAUAGACAACUUAAAUACAACUCAAUAAUAGACAUACAAAUCCUUUCUCCAAUAUAGUCUCUUGUUUCUAACAUGGUAUGGUAUCAGAGCCAUGGUAUCCUCCUUGAAGAGGAUAGGUUGUUUUCCUUGAGGUGAAAUCACCGUAGUUUUUGCAUUUUUUUCUAUGUCAUUCAUCUUUCUAUUUUGUCACUCCUUUGAAACUUUUUCACCUCACCGACUAGCCUAUUUUCUCUGUCUUCUAUUUUUUUUCGAGUUGAAUGAUCAAACACCAUUGUCAUCCGCUGCUUACCUAUUCUCAUGAAGAAAUCAUAUAGUUUUCGUUCUCCCGUGACAGUUCCGUCUGCGUUCUCCCGUGGCAGUUCCGUCUGCGUUCUCCUGUGGCAGUUCCGUCUGCAUUUUUCCGUGGUAGUUCCGUCUGCGUUUUCCCGUAGCAGUUCCGUCUGCGUUCUCCCGUGGCAGUUCCAUCUGCGUUUUCCCGUGGCAGUUCUGUCUGCGCGUUUCCUUGUGGCAGUUCCGUAUGCGUUUCUUUCUGGCAAUUCCAAGCGGCAGUUGCGUCUGCGCUUCUUUCAGACAAGCGGCAGUUCCGUCUGCGCUUCCUUCAGACAAGCGGCAGUUCCGUCUGCGCUUCCUUCAGACUAGCGGCAGUUCCAUCUGCGCUUCCUUCUGACAGUUCCGUCUGCACCCGUUUUAUCAAUUUAUGCAGUUUUUUUUUCUAUUUAUUUCAUUGUUUUAAAUAUGUUUCAAACUCAAGUUGUCACUUGAGUUUGAGGGGGGAUGUUAGAAUAUAAUUAGGAUCAAUUAGAAUUAUUUAGUAUAUCUGAAUACUUAUUAUAGAAUAUUACGUCUUUAUUAUUACGAUUCUCUUAGCCCUAUAAAUACCCUUCUAUAUUGUAUCAUUCGAUACAAUUUGAAUAGACAUACAAAUCCUUUCUCCAAUAUAGUCUCUUGUUUCUAACACAGUUAAAGAACAAAGGAGCACUAAUUCUGGACAACAUAUUCGUUUUACUUUUCUAUAGAGUUAUUAACUAAGGUGAACUGAGUGACUCAAUGAGAGACAAGAAAAAGGGAGGAAAAGAAAAUUGAGGUGUGGAAUGCUUGGUUACAAUAUCUUCGGACUGUCUGGGAGUAAUGAAGUGCAAGGAAACGAUACUAGUAUGGAUUAUAAUUUUGAUAAAAAUACGUAGAACAAAUUAUUACAUUAAGAUAUGGAGCCAACCAAAUUAACAUAAUUGGUACAAGGUGAUUGUCGAUGGCAAUGCUGGUUGUCUUCUCAUUCGGUUAAUGAGUCAUGUUUUGUUUUUGAGUAAAUGGUCUUUGAAUAGUUUUUCCUUUAUACUGAACUACAUUUCCUCCAAAAUCUCGUAUGUUGAGAUUGAGAUUUGAACUUGCAUACUUAUUUUAGGUGUUUUGAGAUUUAUGCCUCAACUUACUCUUUCUAUGUUGAUAUUCUUAGAACGGUAGAGUCUUGAAACUGUAACAUAAAGAAGGCAACACAUUUAUGUAAAACACAAACACACAUUUUACUUUACUCAAUUGUGAGAAACACCAUUGUUCAAGUUCCAAACCAAAGCAUGGAAACAGAAAUGUUGGUACAAUGGUGUUCCAUGCCACAUCAUCACUUUACUCAAUUGAAAACUCAAACAUCAUUGAAUGUUGGUACUUCUCACCAGGUCUAACCACAACAGUUGGGAAAUCUGGCUGGUUUAUGGCAUUAGGGAAUCCCUGAGUCUCCAAACACAGCCCUGCAUGCUUUCCAUAUACGGCGCCUCCUUUUCCGUUAACGCCAUUGACAUAGUUUGCCGUGUAAAACUGCAUGCCAGGGGCAUUUGUCCACAAGUUUAGCACUCUUGAACUUGAGGGAUCUCUCACUUUAGCAGCAUGUUUCAAACCUGCUUUCUCGUCACCACAAUCAAGCACAUAGUUGUGGUCGUAUCACAUUCCAACCUGACCAAUGGUGUUGUCUAUUCUGCUCUCAGUGGUAAAAUCAAACGGAUGCCCUUCACUGGCAUUAUUUCGCCGGUUGGCACAGUGUUCUGAUCGACUGGGGUUACAUGAUUCCCCCAUAUCUGAAUGGAAUGGUUAAGGACGUCUCCUGAGUUGUGGCCAGCCAAGUUCCAAUAGGUAUGCUGAGCUAAGUUAAUUAUGGUGGGCUUGUCCUUUGGUACUCCUUCCAUGUCAAGCCUCAUAGUUGUUCCGGAAAUGAGCGUGUAAGUUGCAAUAACGGUAAUAUCCCCAGGAUAACCUUAUAUAGCAGUAAAAAAAAUAUGAAAAUAUAAAUAGAUAAAGGGAAACAAAAGGACAGAAUAACUGAUACACUCAAAAGUGAGAGGAAGAAAGAAUAAAUAAUGCCUUCCUCUCCAUCAUGACUGUGAUAUUUAAAAGUAAUUGAUGGAGUUUCACCCUUUUUAUAUUCAACAACCUCCCAUACCUUUUUAUCGAACCCUAUAUUUCCUCCUAAAAUUGGAAAACAGAAAUGGAUCAGGCACACACAAAUUUUAUAACAAAAACAAAUAGCUGUCUUAGAAAACACACGCUUUUAUGCUAUUUCAAAUUCCAUUCCAUAAUCAUGUAAUGUUAUUGGUGAAAAGAGCAAAAGAAGGUUUAUCCAAGAAUGUUAGGUGGUCCACCUCCAGCAUUGUUGAGAACAGCUAUACAAUGUAUUUUUGUAAUAUAUAACGAAUCCUUAGACUGAUGAUCAGGAUUACAGUGUUUAGACAAGAGUAAUUUCCUAUAGAAAAUGAUUGAGAGGGUUGAGUGGUUUUAGAAAUUGCAACUGAACCAAACUUGUUAAAUAGUAUAGAGAAAGUGUGAUCCCAGAAAGAAAGAGCUAAGGUUAUUUUUCUAUACUAGCUGUUAAAUAAUUAUAAGGCUAGCCAUUAUUCAUAUUUUUCUUCCUUCAAAUAUAAGCCAACUCUAGCUUUUAUGCUGGAUGCUUAAACAAUUAAGCACUGGUUUCAUCCGAGACGUGUUGGAAGAAGCGAAUUCAUUAUGUGCCUCAACAAAUUAGCUGACCAUUCCAAUAAGUAAAGAACAAAAUGAAUUGAUCAAUAUUCAAUAUUACACUUUCCUUUGCACAUAUCCAAUAAUUCAACCUCAUAGACAUGCAUGGGGGUCAGCUUCCUACGGCAAUUCUAUUACAACUAAGAAGUGACCGAGAACAGCAUACCAACAUAACUAACGAACUUCGGGACCCUCGGUCAGCCUGUUUCUUCGUCUUCUUUUAUGCUUGAAAUCUUCAGGACCAGCUAGACGAGUAGAAGACAAAUUCAUCUCCUCUAGAAGCUCUUUAGCCAACUCAACCUUUCCUGAUUUGUUUAAAUUAUUGAUUAGCGAUCGAUAGAUGUAUAUUGAAGGGAGGAUCCCCUUCAGUUUCAUCUCGCUGAAGCAUUUCAAAGAUUCCUCAGCAUUUCCUGAUCUGCCGAAAUUCUCAAUUAAUGCAGUAUAUGUAAGCAAAUCCGGUUCGAUGCCAUUCUCACUCAUUUCCUUAAAAUACACAAUGCACAUGUCUGUUCUUCCAGCCUUCCGCAAGCCAUUCAAUACAGAAUUAUAAGAAACAGUAUCCGGGACAAAACCAGCUUCCUUCAUGGUUGCAAACACAUCAAACAUUUCAUCCACACGACCUGUACGGCCCAAUAUAUCUAGAACAAUAUUAUAUGUGACCAAGUCAAGACUACAGUUACGACUCUUAAGAUAAUCAAAUAUCACCAAGGCCUUAUCCUUCUGUCCACUUUUGGCAAGGGCGAAAAUGAUCUUGUUUACAAAUGAUGUACUUGAACAAGUUAUCUCUGAUACUUCUUCAAUGAAUCUGAGUAGCUCAAUACAACCAUCGGCUUUUGUGAAAGCCUGGCCAAAACUAAGACAUGAAGCUGCAGUUGGGGAUUUACAGGACAGCAAUAAUUUCUUGAAGGCUUGACACGAAAGGUCUAUGUCAUUCUUCUGACUUGCCUCUGCUAACAAGACAAUAUACACAUUAGGGGGAACAGAAAUGUUCCUUUCUUGUAAAGCUUGUAGCAUUUGUCUCACAGUGAAAAGAUUUCCAAUCUUGCACAUCUUAUCAAUAUAUGCAGCAUAAUCUUUGACACUUGAUGCUGCCGCAUUUUCAAUUGUGGGAUGAAAUUCCUUCAAGACUUUCUCCGCUACUAUCUCUUUGUCAGGAGAUGCCGCUGUUGAAAAAAACUAAAAAUUCCCAAUGAAUUAACUUUUGCUGAUUAAAAUCAGACAGAUUCAAAAGAGAUUGUGUUGCGAGUAAAAUAUAGACCAAGAUCCAAUUAGGAUAAUUUCAUUUACUAUAAAUAGAGAUAGUAAAAAUGUAAUAGGGGGAAUUAAGUAAUUUGCAUCUUUUCCUUUUCUAGAAUUUGACGGAUUCAAACAUCAUCCAAACUACCACUGAGUGAGUAUUACGACAAAUUCACAGCUUACCCAAAUCGUGUUUAUAUGCGUGAUUAUGAAAUUUUGCUGCAUUGCUUUAUCAAUGGGCUACAGAUCCAGAUUCAUAGAGAAGUUCUCAUUGAAAAUCUAAAAUCUCUUUUCUGUGCUUUAUCUUUGGCAAAAUUUUAUGAAAAAUAAUUUGCAAAUCAAGGUUCAGGUUCUUCAGGGACUUCAACAACAAACUGCUCAACAACAACCACUUUUGAUUUUCAUGUUCAGCCAGAGCAACAACAAGAACAGAAUCUAUAGAGCAAGCCGAAUUUUAAAUCACCAAUCUAGAAAUCCAAUCAAAAUUUCAAGGUCCAGUUCCAGCAUCAUCAAUCCCAAUUUAUGAUAUUACAACACAAGCAAUUCAACGAGUAGAAGAUUCAGAAGCACAUAUAAAAUUAUCUACUGCGAUGGCGUUUGACAGUGAGGAUGCUGAUGGCACCACUCGGGGCAGCGGCGAUAGGGAACUCACAGCCAGAAGCGGCUCCGAGGACGGCGCCGUCGCGAAGAGGAAGGUGGAGGACGAGGAUCUAUUGGAUCUGGUACCGACGCCAAUGCUGCGUUGCUGGUUCACGGAAGGGGCGGUAGUAGGCGGAGCAGCUACGAGAAAGAACGCGACGAACGACGAGGUGGUAGCAAGCAGCGUGGACGACGACGCUGCCGUGAAAGGGAGGUAGAGAACGUUUGCGACCCUUAUUGAUGGAGCAACGGUGGCGAACCCAGAUCUUCGGGAAAGGGCGGUGAUGAUACGGAAGCCACCACCAAACCACCGCAUCUGAACUCGCAAGCGGCGGUCACGGGUGGAACGGCCGCGAGCGGCAGUUGGUUCUUGGCUGUUAGGAGGGUCUCUCUUUGGCCUGAGGAGAAAUUGAACGCAACUCCUUGUUGGAUGAUAGGAGACAAACGACACAACACGAAGGGUGGCGGUUGGUUGGACGCAGUGGCGGCGCCGGUGGUUCUCCCGGCAACUGUGAAGUCCAUGGCAGAAAGCAUGGAGCCGCUGGAGAUGUUUUAGGAGAGGAGAAGGUAACUAGGUCAACUGUGUUUGGGGUUGCAUUGGGCCAAACCUUAUUUUCUGAAGCCCAAAAGAAGAAUAGAAUGGCUGAUCCAUUAAAUUCAAGUUCAAUUUUAAAGAUUAUAGCUUUUUGGGACCAAAUUCAGAUUUAUGUAUUAAAUAUCAUUUAUUGGUUUUGGAUUGGACCAAAAACUUUUUAAUGGGAUCCUGGUGGAGUACUGUUAUUUUUUUAGCAGCAGAAUAGAAAUAAAAUAGAAAAUAUUAUUUUUAGGCUUAUGUAUUCGUUUUAUUAAUUGUAAUUAGGAUUUAUAAUUUUUCCAACAAGGUGUCG
rnacentral:lncRNA from 1 species